GGGGUUGUAGCUCAGUGGUAGAGCGCUUACCUAGCAUGUGUGAGGCACUGGGUUCAAGUCUCAGCACCGCA
rnacentral:tRNA from 1 species